AUCUGGGUUUUUACACCCCAAAAUCUGGUAUUUAGACUCGGCACACUCCAAACUCUGGGGUUUAUACCCCAAAAUCUGGGGUGUGCCCCCCAAAAAUCCGGGUUUUAUACACCAAAAUUUGGGUUUUGUACACAAAAAUCGGGGUGCGCACCCCAAAGUCUGGGAUUGAGCCCCCCAAAAUCUGGAUGCAGACCCCAAAAUCCUGGUUUUACACCCCAAAAUCUGGUAUUUAGACGCUGAAAUCUGGGUGCACACUCCAAAAUCUGGGGUGUGCACCCCAAAAUCUGGGGUUUAUACACCAAAAUUUGGGGUUUAUACCCGAAAACCCGGUAUUUAACUAAGAAAUCUGGGGGGGUUACCCCAAAAUCCGGUAUUUAACCCCCAAAAUCCGGGGUUUGCACCCCAAAAACCUGGUGUUUGGCCCCCAAAUUACGAGCGCAGACCCCAAAUUCUGGGUUUUAUCCCCCAAAAUCUGAGGUGUGCACCCAAAAAACCUGAUUUUACACCCCAAAAUCGAGGGUUUACAUCCCAAAAUCUGGGGUUUAACCCCAAAAAUCCGUGUUUUACACCCCAAAAUCCGGGUGGUCACCCCACCGCUGCCCCCUCCCCCCCCCCC